AUUGAACGCUGGCGGCAGGCCUAACACAUGCAAGUCGAGCGGAUGAAGGGAGCUUGCUCCUGGAUUCAGCGGCGGACGGGUGAGUAAUGCCUAGGAAUCUGCCUGGUAGUGGGGGAUAACGUCCGGAAACGGGCGCUAAUACCGCAUACGUUCUGAGGGAGAAAGUGGGGGAUCUUCGGACCUCACGCUAUCAGAUGAGCCUAGGUCGGAUUAGCUAGUUGGUGGGGUAAAGGCCUACCAAGGCGACGAUCCGUAACUGGUCUGAGAGGAUGAUCAGUCACACUGGAAGUGGGACACGGUCCAGACUCCUACGGGAGGCAGCAGUGGGGAAUAUUGGACAAUGGGGGAAAGCAUGAUCCAGCCAUGCGGCGUGUGUGAAGAAGGUGUUCGGAGUGGAAAGAACUUUAAGUUGGGAGGAAGGGCAGUAAGUUAAUACGUUGCUGUUUUGACGGUAACAACAGAAGAAGCACCGGCUAACUACGUG
rnacentral:rRNA from 1 species